rnacentral:rRNA from 1 species
UACGUAGGGAGCAAGCGUUGUUCGGAUUUACUGGGCGUAAAGGGCGCGUAGGCGGCGCGGUAAGUCACUUGUGAAAUCUCUGAGCUUAACUCAGAACGGCCAAGUGAUACUGCAGUGCUAGAGUGCAGAAGGGGCAAUCGGAAUUCUUGGUGUAGCGGUGAAAUGCGUAGAUAUCAAGAGGAACACCGGUGGCGAAGGCGGGUCUCUGGGCAGUAACUGACGCUGAGGAGCGAAAGCGUGGGGAGCGAACAGG